rnacentral:tRNA from 1 species
GCUCCUGUAGCCCAAUGGGAAGAGGCGCUGGUUUCAAGCACCAGAGGUUGUGAGUUCAAGUCUCACCGGGAGUACCA